rnacentral:misc_RNA from 1 species
UCCGGUUUAACACCGGCAGUCUCGUUAGAGUGGCCAGCCGAACUGAAGGAUCCCAUCUCUGGAAUCCAUACGGGACAUGUCAAGGGCUGGUAAGGUUCUGCGCGUUGCUUCGAAUUGAACCACAUGCUCCACCGCUUGUGCGGGCCCCCGUCAAUUCCUUUGAGUUUUAAUCUUGCGACCGUACUCCCCAGGCGGGAUGCUUAAUGCGUUAGCUGCGCCACUGAAGGGUAAACCCACCAACGGCUAGCAUCCAUCGUUUACGGCGUGGACUAC